rnacentral:rRNA from 1 species
CAAGGCGACGACGGGUAGCCGGCCUGAGAGGGUGACCGGCCACACUGGGACUGAGACACGGCCCAGACUCCUACGGGAGGCGCAGUGGGGAAUAUUGCACAAUGGGCGAAAGCCUGAUGCAGCGACGCCGCGUGAGGGAUGACGGCCUUCGGGUUGUAAACCUCUUUCAGUAGGGAAGAAGCGAAAGUGACGGUACCUGCAGAAGAAGCACCGCUAACUACGUGCCAGAGCCGCGGUAAUACGUAGGGUGCGAGCGUUAUCCGGAAUUAUUGGGCGUAAAGAGCUCGUAGGCGGUUUGUCGCGUCUGUCGUGAAAGUCCGGGGCUUAACCCCGGAUCUGCGGUGGGUACGGGCAGACUAGAGUGCAGUAGGGGAGACUGGAAUUCCUGGUGUAGCGGUGGAAUGCGCAGAUAUACAGGAGGAACACCGAUGGGCGAAGGCAGGUCUCUGGGCUGUAACUGACGCUGAGGAGCGAAACAUGGGGGAGCGAAACAGGAUUAGAUACCCUGGUAGUCCAUGCCGUAAACGUUGGGCACUAGGUGUGGGGACCAUUCCACGGUUUCCGCGCCGCAGCUAACGCAAUUAAGUGCCCCGCCUGGGGAGUACGGCCGCAAGGCUAAAACUCAAAGGAAUUGACGGGGGCCCGCACAAGCGGCGGAGCAUGCGGAUUAAUUCGUGCAACGCGAAGAACCUUACCAAGGCUUGACAUGUUCUCGAUCGCCGUAGAGAUACGGUUUCCCCUUUGGGGCGGGUUCACAGGUGGUGCAUGGUUGUCGUCGAGCUCGUGUCGUGAGAUGUUGGGUUAAGUCCCGCAACGAGCGCAAACCCUCGUUCCAUGUUGCCAGCACGUAAUGGUGGAGGACUCAUGGAAGACUGCCGGGGUCAACUCGGAGGAAGGUGAGGACGACGUCAAAUCAUCAUGCCCCUUAUGUCUUGGGCUUCACGCAUGCUACAAUGGCCGGUACAAUGGGUUGCGAUACUGUGAGGUGGAGCUAAUCCCAAAAAGCCGGUCUCAGUUCGGAUUGGGGUCUGCAACUCGACCCCAUGAAGUCGGAGUCGCUAGUAAUCGCAGAUCAGCAACG